rnacentral:ncRNA from 1 species
CGUCGUGAGGUGGAAUCUGAAGGAAGUCGGAUGGCAAAUUUCCGGUCUGACGAAUAGAAAUCAUAUCAGGCUAUAGCUAAGGAUAAGGUUGCUAAACAAACUGAAGUCCAAUAACCAGAUGAAAUAAUUAUUUAAAUUCU